rnacentral:lncRNA from 1 species
UUUUUUUUCUUUUUUUUAAUCCAACGCACGUUAUUUCAUGAAUAAUUGAGUGUAGUUUUUGCCACACAUUUGAUCAUUAUAGUGCCUUCCAUUUUCUUUCAUAUGUAAACCAACCUGUGUUACAACUUCCUUAUCAUUAUUAUCAUUUCUAGUUACCAAAGACGGGAAAGUGUCAUAUUUUUCGUCAUUCUUUCCAUUACAAGCAAAAUUAACCGGGAUUUAAGAGCCAUGUGAUCGCCUAUAGCGAAACCACGUGUUCAUCUCCAUUCAUAAUAAUUGUGUUAAUGCAAUUGCAACAUGCAGGAGAUUGGUCAUGUUUAUUUGAUGAAUGUCGGAAAACCCAGGAGUUUUUCAAUGGAGCUGGUGUGGCUGCAAUGUCAACAUGACUUGUGUGAAAGGUGCCAGGAGUGGUUCUUCUAUAUAGGAAACCGUUGACCUGAUCUUGCUGUCAAAAGUUUAAGGAUAUUUGUUUUGGUAUUUGGUUUCAAGACCAAUAUCAACCAGUGGAAUGUGGACAUGGCGUGAAGAUGGGAUGAAAGGAAAUAUGCAAACAGAAUUGGCACAAUAUAUCUAAAAUAAACCUAAAAAUCUUUUGAAGCUUUGAUGAUGCCAACAUGAGCUUAAAUGCAAGGUGUCCAGGGCCUGUGGUCAAAUUGAAGCACAUGGCUUGUCAAGAUGGGAAGUUUAACUUUUGCUUUGGUAUUUGGAGAUCACAAGCUGAUGGUAUUGGCCAGUGAUCAUGAAUGUGGAGUAAAGAUGAAUUGAAAGAAAAUAAGCAGGCAGAGUUGGUAUUUGCACUCAACCAACAAAAGUGUAGCAAGGAUGGUCCAGAAUUAGCCAUCAGUGAUUACAAAUAAACAUUGAUUUGAUUA